rnacentral:rRNA from 1 species
ACGGAGGGUGCAAGCGUUAAUCGGAAUUACUGGGCGUAAAGCGCACGUAGGCUGUAGUGUAAGUCCGGGGUGAAAUCUCACGGCUCAACCGUGGAACUGCCUUUGAUACUGCACAACUUGAAUCCGGGAGAGGGUGGCGGAAUUCCAGGUGUGUUUUUGAAAUCCUUUUUUUUCUGGAGGAAUAUUAUGGGCGAAGGCUUCCACCUGGACCGGUAUUGACGCUGAGGUGCGGCUGCGUGGGGAGCAAACAG